UAGAAUGGAAUAUCAGCCUCUCCGGCGACCGCUCUGGCCAGUAGGGUCUGACCAGUUCCUGGAGGGCCAACCAGCAGGACACCUAAGCACGGAGAGCCAAAUUACAAGUAGGAACUGGAAGUGAUGUGAAAACAGAAAUAAUAUUCAUCAUUACAGCUGAACAGAUAUUAUUUAGGAAUCUAGGUAAUUCUACUUUUGGGCAGUUUUCCUCCCAGCACUGUGAAUUUAUGUGGGUUUUUGAGGAACUCCACCACUUCCUGCAGCUGGUUCUUUGCUUCUUCCACUCCUUUGACGUGCUCAAAUGUCUCGUUUUUUAUGUGGCCUGGGUCCACUGCCGAGUCCAGGCCUGAUGUGGUUCGGAACCGAACUGUCAAAAAUGGUUAGAUUAAAGUUCGAAAAUCACACUACGCAGCGUGGUUAGAGAACGCGUAGCCUAUUGUUAUAACACAUUUAUAAUUGGUUAGUAAAGCAGACUAAUGUUGGACUAGAUUGUUAAUAAUACUAAUAUUCUAAUAUGAACAUAUUGGAGAAACUUUAGAGAAGAAAACAGAGCGUGUACAUGAUAGGAAGGGGAUUUUGAAGAUGCCAUACAGCUCGAUUAGAAGCGGCACCAGCAGGAUGAGGCGAGUCCUCCUCAAAGACUCUGAACAAUUGGAAACAUCACAGGAACAUUUUACAUCUCUACUGUUUCAUAGUGUGAUGAAAUUACUAAUCAGCUUUCAACUUGUGUUUAAAUUACUUGUGUGUGUCAGGGCUUGUGCUUUCAGGAAACCCUCAGCAAAGCCUCUUUUGAAAGCAUCCUGCAGUCCAUUAUGCACGUUCUUAUUCUUCAACAGGGUUUCCAAAUUUUGCACUUCAACCCCCUUGUCACGUGAAAGGAAACCCUGAAGCACAAGAUCUGUGCUGACACGGGAAGCUCUGGUCAGUGUGAAAGGUGUCAGACAGACCACCUCCUGUGUCAUGCCUGAUGUGGUGAGUGACUUAAAAUAUUAUCACUUAAAUUGCCCAAUGAGUCACAAAGACAGUUUGACUUAUUAAAUAAACCUGUCAGUGUUCAAUAACAUCUCCUUUAUCUGUGUCAGGACUGGGAUUGGGUCAUCGAACAAUUGAAGAAGCCACUGAACUUUUGCUGUGUAAUGAGCUCUCAAAACACACCAACAAUUACAGAAAACACACACAAAAACAGAUAUUGCACAAGCACUGCACUAGUACUAGUAAGAAAAACAAGCAGGCAACACAAACUAACAGAGUUGAAUUGGACUGCACUAGAAGCUCAUAGGACUUAGUCUUGUGAUGUUAAAGCUACUUUUCUUAUCAGAGGUUCACACUAUGCCUCUACUUAAUUCAUCACCAUCCUCUUUUCUAAUCCUUCUUUUCCAAGUCAAAGGAACCAUUGGCAAUAGCUGAAAUUAAGUCACUUGUCACCAACCUUCACUAGCUCAUCUUGGUUUGUACAGCAGAACUGGCCAAGAUAUCCCAAAGACAAAAACAGGCUCUUAAGUAGGGUUGGGUACUGAUCUGAAUACUUUUAGUGGCACUGACACAAAUUAUUAGAUUAUCAUUACAGAGUAGGCAGUUAGUCCUGCGACUCUGCUCUCUGCCUGGUUCUCUCCUCCUGCAUGUUUUUGAAACUUAUGGGCCAUAUGUGGCAUCCCUGUCCAGCCCGCGGUAUGUCAGUCAUAAAAACAAAUUAACAAGUAUUUAUGCUGCACAUGCAAUACAACUGUGUUGCUUUUAUUUUGAAAUGUUUUUAUUUAUUUUUUUAUUAUUUUCUCAUUUACUAAAACUAUAUAAUUUAUAUGUAUAUACAGUAUCUGUGUGUGUGUGUGUGUGUGUGUGUGUACAUACAUAUUGCUAUUGAUGGGAACAAGAAAAAGAAAAAAUAUAAUGAAGUACAUGAAUUCCCCACAAGAUGGUGAAGUUGCCUAGAAAACCUCCCAUCACCAGAGAGUGAGAAUUUCUCCCUGACGAGGUAGUGUUUUGUUUUGUUAGUCUGUUUGACCUAACAUGAUAACACACACAAACAUUUACCAUUGUAAAUGUUAUAACUGUUUGGAAAGUACUGACACUGUGGGAAAGUGAGUGACCUUAGUGCAGGUUUAUACUCAAGUGUUGUCUGUUAAAUUGUGUUGCGUUCGGACAUUAAGAGAAACUAAAUGUCCCAAGGCAUUUCCUAAGGCUGAUACAAAAUAUUUAACUUUGUUACUAACUAAAUGUAAAACACUUCAUAUGUUCUGUUAUUGGCAUUUUUUUAGUCUUUAAAACCUCUUGCUACCUGAGCCUAUUUAUGCCUAUUUUUUAGGUCUAUGAAUGCAUAUUAGAGUGAUUUUAGUCCAAAAUGUUACAUUUUGGAAACAUCUGUGCAAUUUGGAUUUAAACCAUGUAUUUAACCACUUUCUUCACUUUAAUAUAUCUAUUAAUGUUCAAUAAAACAAUUUCUGGCAUUGUUUCAAAGUUCCUGCAGACUUUAAUAUGUUUUCCAUAUAAAAAACACACACCAGCUGACUUGUCUCUCUUCUCAGGCCUGUAUCUCAGCGAGAGAAUGGCCUACAUGAAUGAACACAUCUCAUUGGCUUCCUUAAAGCCAAGAGAAGGACGCUGCCAUCUCCGAAUUUUGAUUGACAGCUUCGUUCGCCAAUGAAAGGCAACCGGGAGCGCGGAUGUGACGUGGCUGGCUGCUGCCUUAGGAUAGGUAUAUGAUGUGACAAAGACCAUAGGUGUGAGUGAAUGGUUGUUUCUCUAAGUGGCCCUGUGAUGGACUGGUCACCUGCCCAGGUUGUGCCCUGCCUUUUCACCCUAUGUCAGCCAGAUUGGCACCAGCCACCCUCCUGUGGAGGAUAGAGCGGUAGAAGACAAUGGGUGGAUGACCAUGAAGUGAACAGAAAUAAAGGCUUGAAAUUUGUUAGGAAACACUCUAUGCUUUUUAUUGAGGCCAGUGCAAAGACCAAAGAUGGUGUCCAGUGUGCCGUCAAGGAGCUUGUGGAGAAGAUCCUCCAGACUCCAGGGCUUUGGUAGAGUGAAAGCCAAGGCCAGAAGAUCCGUCUGGAGGACCAGGACCAGGCAAGUGUUAGGGGAUGUGGAGGAUACUGUUCCAUACUGUGAUACUGAAACAAAAUGAAGGACCACAGACCAGAACCUGAAAGCUAGAGAGAGGUGGAAGUAGAUAUGCCAUGUCUGGUCUGAAUUUAUCAGUGAAUUUAUCAGAAAUUGAACAGUGAUUUUGUUGUUGUACAUAAAGGUUAAUAGCAUAGUGCCUAUAACAUGAACUAAUUUGUAAGUUGCUCUACAUUAAAUGUCAAUUUUGAUAGAAAAUGAUUAAUGAGCGAAAGCAGUCGGAGCACAAAACCCCACCAAGGCCACUUAGUUUCCUACAGUGUCAUUACACUCCCCUAUCUGGUAAGGUUAGCACUUGAGAACCUUUCGUUGUAUUGGUCUUUGCAUGGCUGACAAAGACCAUAACUUCCAGAGCUACAAGUGCAUGGUGUAAAAUAAAUAAAUCGAUAUGGACAAAUCACUCAAUAUCAUGAAUAAUUGUGAUGAGUGUCAAAAUUGAGUCCUGAGUGAGAGUUUAAUAAACCAAAAAAUUGUCAUUUGUAUACAGUAAAAACAUUCAUAGCAAUCAUGUUAUAGCUCAAAGUGUGUUUGUGCUGGAAACUUUUGUUUUAUUGUAAUAAUCCUUGUUGCUCAGCCCUAUGUUCUAUUACCUGAGCUCACUGGUAUUUUGCCUGUAUGUAUUUGGUCUCAAACAGGUCCUAUUAACUUUUUCUUUUGCAUUUAUUUUGAAGUUAGUGUUGUGGUGACUGACACAUUUUAAAUAUUAGUAUUUCCCAGAGCUUUCUUUCCUUCCAUCCUAGGUAAAUAUAUGUUGCAUCUAUUCAAAUUAUAUGCAGCAACAUGUUAACCUGAUAUCUGCCUUAACAUUGACUGACAUUUGCUGGAUUUACGGUCGUAUAAUGUUUGCAUUGUUUCAAAAUGAAAUAAAUGAUUGCGUCAAGAUGC